UACGUAGGGUGCGAGCGUUGUCCGGAAUUAUUGGGCGUAAAGAGCUCGUAGGCGGUGUGUGACGUCGGCCGUGAAAACCUGCAGCUUAACUGUGGGCGUGCGGUCGAUACGGGCAUCACUGGAGUUCGGCAGGGGAGACUGGAAUUCCUGGUGUAGCGGUGAAAUGCGCAGAUAUCAGGAGGAACACCGGUGGCGAAGGCGGGUCUCUGGGCCGAUACUGACGCUGAGGCACGAAAGCGUGGGGAGCAAACAGG
rnacentral:rRNA from 1 species